CAGUAACACGUAGGUAACCUACCCUUAGGACUGAGAUAACCCCGGGAAACUGGGGCUAAUACCAGAUAGAUAAAAGAUACUGGAAUGUUCUUUUAUCCAAAGCUUUUGUGCCUAAGGAUGGGCUUGCGUCCGAUUAGGUUGUUGGUGGGGUAAUGGCCCACCAAGCCUGCGAUCGGUACGGGCAGUGGGAGCUGUAGCCCGGAGUUGGGGACUGAGACAAGGCCCCAGGCCCUACGGGGCGCAGCAGGCGCGAAACCUCUGCAAUGCGGGAAACCGUGACAGGGGGAUCCCAAGUGCUCAUGCAUUGCAUGGGCUGUUCUUUGGUCUAAGUAACCAGAGGAGUAAGGGCUGGGCAAGACCGGUGCCAGCCGCCGCGGUAAUACCGGCAGCUCGAGUGGUAGCCGCGAUUAUUGGGCCUAAAGCGUUCGUAGCCGGAUAAGUAAGUCUUUGGUUAAAUCCUGCGACUUAACCGUGGGAAAUCUAGAGAUACUGCUUGUCUUGAGACCGGGAGAGGUUGGAGGUACUCCUAGGGUAGGGGUGAAAUCCUGUAAUCCUAGGGGG
rnacentral:rRNA from 1 species